rnacentral:rRNA from 1 species
AGAAAUAAACUUAAUACAUACAUACCAGUUCUCGUCCGAGCACUGAAGUCAAGCAAUGUUGAGCAUGGUUAAUACUUAAAUGGGUGACGACUUGGGAACAUCGCGUGAUACUCCUU